UAGCCUAGUAGGUAAGGCUAUGGAUUGCCAAUCCAGAGACGGCGGGUUCGAUCUCCGU
rfam:Aedes albopictus isolate Foshan contig29066, whole genome shotgun sequence.